rnacentral:lncRNA from 1 species
UUGGUCCUGAUACGGACCAGGUCGACGAUUGAGAAAAAUGAAAAAGUUAUGGGCCUCAUGGGAUGCUAGAAUGUUAGGCAUAUAGGCCUCCUGCCUACUGGUCCGAGAUAAAAGAAUGAGGGAAAAACUAGUAUGGGUUGAGCUCCCUUGCUGAGUACCGUGAAUGACGUUGGCUGCUUAGUUCCCUUUACUGGGAGAAAUGUGGGCUUCUCUCUUAAGAGAAAGUAAAGAAGAUCGAGGCGAAUGCAUUGGCUCGUUUGAAUGCUAUCGUGGAGCCUACUAUGAAUAAAUGUGGAAAGAAAAGAUCUUCCCUGCCUGCUCAAGAGAUGCUAGUUAAGAAAACUAAAUACUUCCUCCGCUGUUUGCGAGGGUCUGCCUGCUGCUGAUAGCCUUGUAAUUGACAUGACUUUUUCCAAUGAGAAGAAAAAUGUGGUUGCUAGAUCUGAGCAUGUGGCGCCUGCCAUGUCGAGAAUGGCUU